CAAAGUAGUAAAAGCAAGACUAAAUCUCUCUGGUUAUCAUGCAGACAAAGGAUUGAUGAACCAAGACAUCGCUGUUCCAAAUUUCAUUAUUUCACAAGCUCAGACAGAAGAAUUUAGCAUCUUUUUGAUUCUAUUAGCCUCCCACUUUUAUCUCUGUUGACAUGCUAGAGUCCACAAGGUGCACGGUGCAUCUUGGAAGCGGCAGAGCUUCUCUCCCCGCUGGAAGUCCCUCAAGUUACAUAAUGGCUUCUAUCCCCAGUAUCUCUCAUCCAUCUUUCAACAAGAACGAGCAACAGCGAUGAUUGUGAGCUGCAACAAGCAAAUUGAAAGGUAUAACUGGCUAUCAGACCCACAGUUACCGAAAUCUCAAGAGAAAGGAUUGAUGACUGCAAGAUGAUAUGAUGGUGUUCCGAACGUCAUUAUUUCACCUGCUUGGCCAGAAGAAGUUAGCAACGCGGGCCAAAUCUUAUGAGAUCAGUGUAUCAUAUUUGGAAGUAUAGACAUAGGAAAGAUGUCAAUGAAAACAUGGAGCCUGUGAGCAAGUAAAUUAGCGAGUUCUGCUUUUCCUUGUUUCGAGGACCAUAGUUUUUGCAAUUUGAUUGAGGAAAUCAUGUUCGACAUAUAUACCAUAUUUGGAUGGACAAGGACCGGAAAGAAAUAACAUUGUUUGUAGAGUCUACUUGUA